rnacentral:rRNA from 1 species
UACGGGGGGAGCAAGCGUUGUUCGGAUUUACUGGGCGUAAAGGGCGCGUAGGCGGCCACCGCAAGUCGGUUGUGAAAUCUCUGGGCUUAACCCAGAAAGGUCAACCGAUACUGCGGGGCUAGAGUGCAGAAGGGGCAACUGGAAUUCUCGGUGUAGCGGUGAAAUGCGUAGAUAUCGAGAGGAACACCUGCGGCGAAGGCGGGUUGCUGGGCUGACACUGACGCUGAAGCGCGAAAGCUAGGGGAGCGAGCGGG